rnacentral:rRNA from 1 species
AAACUCAAAUGAAUUGACGGGGCCCGCACAAGCAGCGGAGCAUGUGGUUUAAUUCGAAGCAACGCGAAGAACCUUACCUAGACUUGACAUCUCCCGAAUUACCCGUAACUGGGGAAGCUCUUCGGAGCAGGAAGACAGGUGGUGCAUGGUUGUCGUCAGCUCGUGUCGUGAGAUGUUGGGUUAAGUCCCGCAACGAGCGCAACCCUUAUCAUUAGUUGCUACGCAGGGGCACUCUAGCGAGACUGCCGGUAAUAAACCGGAGGAAGGUGGGGAUGACGUCAAAUCAUCAUGCCCCUUAUGACCUGGGCUACACACGUGCUACAAUGGUUGGUACAACGAGUUGCGAGUCGGUGACGGCGAGCUAAUCUCUUAAAGCCAAUCUCAGUUCGGAUUGUAGGCUGCAACUCGCCUACAUGAAGUCGGAAUCGCUAGUAAUCGCGGAUCAGCACGCCGCGGUGAAUACGUUCCCGGGCCUU